rnacentral:lncRNA from 1 species
CAAGAUCAGAAUUUUGUGGAGCUGGGAAUUGAACUGUAGUUUUGUUGCAAUAACAGUGAACGUCCUUGAAAGUGUCUCACUCAUGAAGACUGUCUGGUUUAUUAUGAUUCUCUGGUAUUUGGCAUUUGGUAUCAAGUCCAGCUGGAUGAAAUUAUAUCUGGGAAAUUAUCAUCUAUCUGAUGCCAGUCUUCAAGUGUCACCAAAGCCCCCUUCAUCUGGUAGGCAAUUAAAGGAAGCUCUGGAGUCCUCGGGGACUUCUCAGCCCCCACUGAGUACAGUACACUUCAGAUAAAGGAACUUUCAAGCUGAUCUCAUCUGUAAAGUUCUGGACCUGGAGAGGAAAGGCUGGGAGAUGGGCUGUCCUGCCUGAGUCACUCCUUGCGGUCAAGUUAACAGGACAAUGGUGAGCUUCUGCUUUGAGAAAAGAUUUGCAGCUUCUGGGAUUCAGGAGUGGAGCCGCAUUUGUAUCCCUCUCCAGCCAGAGAAACUGGUGGACUUUCACACUGGCCAGUUGGAUAUGUGGAAGAAGAAAUAAAGUUCAUAACUUUGGGGAUGCAAAGGAAACUGUUUUCAUGAUUCCCCAAAAAGCUAAUCACAGGAGAGCUCUGUGAAGUUGGCCAAGGGCAUGCUUUGAGAAUGAUAGAUUUAACGUUUGCUUUCUUUGGCCUGGACGUUUCCCAGAGUCUCCUUAUAUCUUUUCUUGAUACAUAAUGUGCAUUCUAAGGGAGGCAAGGGAGGACUGUAACUUGGCACAAUCUUCCUUACAUGUAAAUCCCUAAACUGAAACGAAAGACUACGAUACGCUGACACAGAGAAGAUGAUGGGAAGGGAAAUAAAGAGGGGACAAUCAUCUAUAAAUUUUAAUAAAACUCUGACUUAAUUUAGUAUAACAGUCUUGUGAUUUAAUAAAGCACAUAUUAAAUAAUGAAAAGGUGCUUGCUUG